rnacentral:rRNA from 1 species
AUUGAACGCUGGCGGCAUGCCUUACACAUGCAAGUCGAACGGUAACAGGUCUUCGGAUGCAGACGAGUGGCGAACGGGUGAGUAAUACAUCGGAACGUGCCUAGUAGUGGGGGAUAACUACUCGAAAGAGUGGCUAAUACCGCAUGAGAUCUACGGAUGCAAGCAGGGGAUCGCAAGACCUUGUGCUACUAGAGCGGCCGAUGGCAGAUUAGGUAGUUGGUGGGAUAAAAGCUUACCAAGCCGACGAUCUGUAGCUGGUCUGAGAGGACGAUCAGCCACACUGGGACUGAGACACGGCCCAGACUCCUACGGGAGGCAGCAGUGGGGAAUUUUGGACAAUGGGCGCAAGCCUGAUCCAGCAAUGCCGCGUGCAGGAUGAAGGCCUUCGGGUUGUAAACUGCUUUUGUACGGAACGAAAAGCCCUGGGUUAAUACCCUGGGGUCAUGACGGUACCGUAAGAAUAAGCACCGGCUAACUACGUGCCAGCCGCCGCGGUAAUAC